AGCGAACGCUGGCGGCAGGCUUAACACAUGCAAGUCGAGCGGGCAUAGCAAUAUGUCAGCGGCAGACGGGUGCGUAACGCGUGGGAACGUACCUUUUGGUUCGGAACAACUGAGGGAAACUUCAGCUAAUACCGGAUAAGCCCUUACGGGGAAAGAUUUAUCGCCGAAAGAUCGGCCCGCGUCUGAUUAGCUAGUUGGUAAGGUAAUGGCUCACCAAGGCGACGAUCAGUAGCUGGUCUGAGAGGAUGAUCAGCCACAUUGGGACUGAGACACGGCCCAAACUCCUACGGGAGGCAGCAGUGGGGAAUAUUGGACAAUGGGCGCAAGCCUGAUCCAGCCAUGCCGCGUGAGUGAUGAAGGCCCUAGGGUUGUAAAGCUCUUUUGUGCGGGAAGAUAAUGACGGUACCGCAAGAAUAAGCCCCGGCUAACUUCGUG
rnacentral:rRNA from 1 species